AACCUACUACCAAUCAGACUCCACCAACAAGAAACUUACCUAAACCAUGUUUUAGAUGUGGUGAAAAGUAUUUUCCGGGCCAUCAAUGUAAGUCAAAGACAUUGAAUGCUUUGUGUAUGGAUGGGAAAGAUGAAGAAUUGAAUGAGGAGUGGCAUGAUGUGGGGGCUGAUAUAGAAGAAUUGGGAGAGGCUGGUUCCACCUUAUCUGUUCAUGCUUUAGAGGGUAGUCAUGGGGCUGACACUAUAAGAAUGUUAGGGAUUCACAAAAAUAGGCAAUUGGUGAUCCUCAUUGAUAGUGGCAGUACCACUAGUUUUAUGGACAGGAGGAUAGAACAGGAACUGAAAUUAGACUUGCUACAGAUUCCAUUUAAAGCAGUUACUGUUGCUGAUGGAAGAAAAUUGGGUUGUAACCAUCUAUGUCAACAAUUUAAAUGGAAAAUGCAACAUAAUGACUUUACGUUUGACUUCAAAAUAUUGGAGUUAGGUGGAUUUGACAUGAUUUUGGGAGUUGAUUGGUUAAAAGAUCAUAAUCCUGUUCUUUUUGAUUUUGCUACAUCUUGUAUUACAAUUGCAAAGGAUGGCCAACGCAUUCAAUUGCAGGGAAUUGGUGAGGAAAAUUUGCAAUCUGGUUUGUGGCAUUCUGAUAAUUUGUUGAGCAAAGGAGGGGUGGAUUUUCAAACUCCUUUAUUCUGUGUUGUGAAUUCCAGUCUGUCAAUAGAUUCUUUGGCUACUGCAACUGCUGUUUCUGUUCCAAAUGAGAGCCUGCCGGAUUUAAUUCAGAAGUACAAGGGUGUUUUUGCAGAACCUAAGGGGUUGCCUCCAUUUAGGAGUCACAAUCAUGCUAUUCCCUUACAAUCAAAUGCUCAGCCCAUCAAUAUUAGACCCUACAGGUAUCCUUAUUAUCAAAAGGCUGAAAUAGAAAAACUUGUAGCUGAUAUGAUAGAAUCUUCAAUAAUUCAGCCUAGCACUAGCCCAUAUUCCUCUCCAUUUCUUUUGGUGAAGAAAAAAGAUGGCACAUGGAGGUUUUGCAUUGAUUAUAGAAGGUUGAAUGAUCAAACAAUAAAAGAUAAGUUUCCCAUCCCUAUUAUUGAAGAUCUAUUGGAUGAAUUGAAUGGGGCUAAAGUGUUUUCUAAGAUAGAUUUGAGGGCCGGAUAUCACUAAAUUAGGAUGUUGCCCGAGGAUAUUCCUAAGACAGCCUUUAGAACACACCAUGGGCAUUUUGAAUUCAAAGUGAUGCCUUUUGGGCUCACUAAUGCUCCUGCAACAUUUCAAGCCUUAAUGAAUCACAUCUUCCAACCAUUUUUGAGGAAGUUUGUGUUAGUAUUUUUUGAUGACAUUUUGGUGUUUAGCAAGGAUAUGGAGUCUCAUUUGCUGCAUUUGGAGGAAGUUUUCAAAGUACUACAGGCCCAACAAUUAUUUGCAAAGCAGUCUAAAUGUUUUUUUGGGCAAACUGAGAUUGAAUACUUGGGGCAUAUAAUUUCAGGGGCAGGGGUAUCUACCGACCCUAAGAAGGUGGCUGCCAUGGUUGAUUGGCCUGUGCCUUCGUCUGUUAAAGAACUCAGAAGUUUUUUAGGCCUUACUGGAUAUUAUAGGAAAUUUGUAAGGCACUAUGGCAUUAUCUGCAGGCCUCUUACUGAAUUAUUGAAGAAAGAUUCUUUUCAUUGGAAUAAGGUAGCCCAAACAGCAUUUGAUACUUUGAGGAGAUUGAUGUUUGAAGCACCAGUCCUUGCUCUUCCUAAUUUUUCUAAGCCAUUUAUUGUGGAAACUGAUGCAAGCAAUUGGGGAAUGGGUGCAGUUUUAUAGCAGCAAGGGCAUCCAAUUGCCUAUAUUUCUAAGGCAUUUGGUCCUAGGAGUCAGGCUAUGUCAGUAUAUGAAAAAGAAUUAUUGGCUAUUACUUUUGCAGUCAGCAAAUGGAGACAUUAUUUGGAGCAAGGGCAGUUCUUUAUUAAGACUGAUCAUGAAAGCAUUAAGUAUCUUUUGGAGCAAAGGUUACAUAACAAUUUGCAGCAGAAGGGUAUUUCAAAGUUGCUUGGUCUGGAUUACAAAAUUUUGUAUAGAAAGGGCAUUGAAAAUAAGGUGGCAGAUGCUUUAUCCAGAAGGUGUGUUGACGUGGAUUCUUAUUCUUAUGCUAUGUAUUCAGUGGUGGUUCCAGUUUGGAUGCAUAAGUUAAUUGCUAGUUAUGAAAAUGAUGGGAAAGCCUCUGACUUACUCCAGCAGUUAUUUUUGGAUAAGGAUGCAGUUUUUGGGUAUCAAUUGAAGAAUGGUAUUUUGUAUUAUAAAGAUAGAAUGUAUGUGGGGACUACUACCAAUUUGAGGCAGUUGUUGUUGGAAUCUUAUCAUAGUUCAGCAGUGGGAGGCCAUUCAGGUGUUCAUGCUACUUAUUUGAAAUUAAAGAAAAUUUUCUUUUGGCCUGCUAUGCUUAAUGAUGUCAUGCAGUGGGUUCAUACCUGUGAUACUUGUGCUAGAUGUAAGGGAGAGCACUGUGCUUAUCCAGGGUUAUUACAACCUCUACCAAUUCCUACUCAAGCCUGGCAGAAGGUGUCUAUGGAUUUUAUUGAAAGAUUGCCCAAGUCAAAGGGGAAAGACACUAUUUUGGUAGUUGUUUGCAGAUUUACUAAAUUUGGCCAUUUUAUUUCACUAGCACAUCCAUUUUCUGCUGUUUCUGUAGCUAAACUUUUCAUUGAUCACAUUUUUAAGUUGCAUGGAGCUCCUCAAGUUAUUGUUUCUGACAGAGAUAAGGUGUUUACUAGCCUAUUUUGGCAAGAAUUGUUUAGAAGUAUGGGAAUUAAACUUAAUUUUAGUUCUGCCUAUCACCCUCAGUCUGAUGGACAGACUGAAAGAGUUAAUCAGUGUCUGCAGAAUUAUUUGAGGUGCAUGGUUCAUUUGAGGCCUACGAAUUGGAGCUCUUGGUUACCUAUGGCAGAAUGGUGAUACAAUUCCUCUUAUCAAAUUGCUAUUCAGAUUACUCCAUUUGAAGCACUGUAUGGGUAUAGUCCACCUCUGUUUCAUGAAAAUUUUACUCUUGAUUCCUCAGUUGGGGUUGUAGGGAGAUUGUUACAAGAGAGACAGCAUCUUAAUAAUCUCUUAAAGGAAAAUUUACAAGUGGCCCAACAUAGGAUGAAGCAGCAAGCUGACAAGAGGAGAACUGAGAGGGAAUUUGUUGUUGGGGAUUGGGUGUAUUUGAAACUUCAGCCUUAUAUGCAGACUUCAGUAUCUGUCAGACAAACCCUUAAACUUUCUGCUAAGUUUUAUGGGCCAUUCAGAAUUCUUGCUAAGAUUGGGAAAGUUGCUUAUCAAUUAGACUUGCCUCCAACAGCUACUAUUCACCCUGUUUUCCAUGUAUCCAUGCUUAAGAGGAAGGUUGGGGAUGGUGUGGUGGUUGCUACUGAUUUACCUGUUAUGCAAGAUGACCAGAUUAAAGUUGUUCCUGAGCAGGUUUUGCAGACCAGAAUAAUUGAAAGAGGACACCAGAGAGUAGAACAGGGACUUAUUAAAUGGCUUAAUCUGUCAACAGAGGAUGCCACUUGGGAAGAUAGAAGCUUUAUUGAAGGGCAAUUUCCUGAAGUCUCCCUUUCUUGGGGACAAGAAAGUGCUAAAGGAGGGAGUAUUGUUACGUACUAUAGAAAGAAAUAUAAGAGAAUACGAUUAGAUAUUCUAGAAGUUGGGUAAGUAAGGAAUUGGAGGGAAAUGUGGAUGAGUUGUUAGGGAGCCAGCUGUUCUGUAGUUGGCAAGUGAGCUGUUUUGUAGUUGGCAAGUGAGCUGUUCUACAGUUGGCAAGAUGAGACAGCUGAGGCAGUUAUGAGAUAGUUGUUGUAUAAAUAACUCAGCUAUAUCUUUCUUGUAUUCAUUCCAGAAUUUACAAGAAAUACAAUAACUACUCUCUAUUCUCUUUUCUCUCUCUCUCUCUCUUUUCUCUCUACUCUUCUAUUCUUUUCUGUUAGAGUUCUCAAACCCUAACACAAUUUCCCCACUUUACAUUGGGAGACACCUACAUAGGCUUUUGAAGAACUACAAGAGUUGGUGGACUCGUGCGCACAAGGAUGGGCCUAGCCAAGUGUAACGGGUGGACGUGCGUAUAAUUCGCGAGGACUUGAUCCAGUUUCCUUUUUCAUAGCCUUUUAUUUUCAUUUAUAUUUUUCCAAAGAAAUAUCCUUACCUAAAAACAUGUUUUUGACCUAGUUAAAACUAGAUUCCUAUUUUUUCUCUACCUAGCCAAAACUGAACUCCAUUUUUUUGGUACUUAGCUAUUUUAUUAAUGUUACAUAAUGUCUCUUUUAUUUUUCCUCUCUUGAACGUUACUAACAUUCUAUUUUUUGCUUAUAUAGGGACAUGUACAUUGAGCCUAAGACACUACAAAACUCUUUUUCUUCUACCUUUCUACGUCUAGGUAAUCGGAUCUAUCACUGGAGUUAGGUACAUUAUUGAGUACUUUCCUGAAAUAGGAUUUGGGCCACGCCUCAAUGUCGACAUCCAUCAUGGCGCACUCACUGAAGGAUUGCUUACAUUUGCAAUUGUUACCAUCUCUC